rnacentral:rRNA from 1 species
UAAUACGUAGGGGGCAAGCGUUGUCCGGAUUUAUUGGGCGUAAAGAGCGUGUAGGCGGCCAAAUAGGUCGGUUGUGAAAACUGGAGGCUUAACCUCCAGACGUCGACCGAAACCAUCUGGCUAGAGUCCGGAAGAGGAGAGUGGAAUUCCUGGUGUAGCGGUGAAAUGCGCAGAUAUCAGGAAGAACACCCGUGGCGAAGGCGGCUCUCUGGGACGGUACUGACGCUGAGACGCGAAAGCGUGGGGAGCGAACAGGAUUAGA